rnacentral:lncRNA from 1 species
CUCAGAGGGGCCGAGGGGCAAAAUCGUGACUCUGGAGUCAGGCUUGUCUGUUGCGAUGGUAACUUUGGAGAUAGCGGAUAAUAUCUUGUAUGCGAUAGAGAGAGAAAGAUAUCGUACCUAUUUGACAUAUGGACACAAUAAAAUUUUAUCCAAAAAAGAAAGAAUAAAUGAAUGAAAGAAAGAAAGAAAAAAAGACGGAGACGGCC